UUUAACUCUUCAUCUGAAUACAAUAUUCGUAAAACAUUUUCUCUGGCCCUACCUUAUUUAUAUACGGCGGCAGGAAGCUUUUUAAUCAUUUACCUCUUGAUUUAUUUUACUGAAAGUGACCGUAAGUCUAGGACGAAUUUUUGCAAAAUGAAGCUUUUUACACGUUGUAUGAAUUUUACGCCAUUUAGCAUUUUAACUGGCGUUUCUGUACAAUUAAACUAAGAUAUUUUAAAAACAGUGCCUUAAAUCAUAUUUUUGCAAGAGCAACUUUUUUUGCCAAAUUAAAUGGAGAAUCUAUCACCUCGCAGAUCAAGUCCCUCCGUAUCAUCACCACUGGCAAUAUUUUUUUAAAUUGGCUUCAUCAGUAAUUGAUAGUUCACUACAAUAACCUGCAUACGAAAUUUAAUUAAAAUUGAGCUGGUAGCUUAAAAGUUACGAUAAAUAAACAAUUAAUUAUUCUUAACUUUAACACCCUGUAUCUUUGUUAUUAAACAUUCCUGAGAAAAAUUUUAUAAUGAAAGCCUAUUUGUUUUUAAAUUCUCUAUCACGUAUAAAUGACGUUUAAACUGGUCCACCCUGUGCCUGCAUGCCAUCUGGACUCCUGGGUCAAAAAAUUGUUUUCCAAAUUAAUUUUUUUUUUUGGAUUUCAUACAGAUGGCGCCAUAACCAUUAACAGUUAAUUUAAAUUAAUUUUAAAGAAAUAAUUUUAUUUACGUGGACAGCCGGUAUAGUACACUCGUCUCAAGGAAAAUCUACGAGGUCCCACCGAGCUUCCAAACUGCCUAUAAAGCGAGUAAGGCGAGCUUUCGCUGCUUGGGACGUUGCCAAAUUUUUAUUUUGUACGUGUUUUUGAGAGAAAACGUUCGAUGUUUAUAAAAAGAAUAUAAACAAAUAAUUCUUAUUGGAAUAUUCUACAGAAGGAACUCUUUUGAGAUUUUGGAAAAACUGACGCACUGCACCUCUUAGGCAUCUAAGACGACUUUUUUUCUAUUCUUCUCAAAUUCCAACUAUACCUGAACCUCCCCCUGCUCACCUCGCGCAAAAAAACUCUCUCCACAACACCAAAAAAUGACACACCUGUCAUUGUCAAAAUUUCAGUCAAAUAAAAACUCACAUUAACUACCACCACCCCCCUAAAUGUUGGCCAUUUAGACUGGCUAUGAGUGCAAACUUCACAAAAACCGUUAAUCUGAACCAUCUACCUUUAGAGCGAAUUCACUACAGGUCCAAGGAGUACAUAGCGACCGUCUGUCGGGACAUAAUCGAAGACAUUUUGAAACAAACGUACGACGAGGAAGAUCCUUUGACCGUAGCACCGGUGAAGUGCAGCAAAGGAUCGCAAACCGAGGAUCAUCGCUACGAUUUUGUAUGGAAAAAAGGAGUUUUUUAAAGAAGGAUUUGUGCAAAGAUGGUGGAAAUAACCAGACUGAGACCGAAACCCUCCAAACCGGAUCAAGACGAUCAGGAGCUGGACGACUUAAGGGUUUUCGGGAUAAUUCCAGACCCACCAUUACAAGACGAAUCAUUUGAAGUCGUCGAAAUAGCCCACUGGGAUGUUGACGAGUUGAUUAGUGAUGACAUCCAGGUUUUGGAUGAUGACCAUCACGAGAGCGAUAUCAGUCAUCACAGGAUAAAGGAUAUCAUCGACAAUAUCGGCCGAACGGUUAAUUUAACUUUGGGAGAGUUCUUUCGGCCCAGGAUGGUUGACGGUAUGGAGGACGCCAAGAGAAAUUCGAUGCAAGAGUUUGUAAAUUGUGUGAAAAAACUGGAAAAGUUGACUCAGGAAUUGGAGAGAUUAACCGGGAGGAUCUAUAUGAUUCUUAAAGUGUUUAUGAUCAUGUUUGUUGUGAAUUUAGUGGUUGUGCCGACGGCGUCGGUUAUAGGUCCUAUAAGUGAUUUUUUUGGCAAUUUUUCUUAUUAAAUUAGUCGCGGAAUAGAUUUUUCUAUAUAACUGGC